rnacentral:misc_RNA from 1 species
GAUGAAGAACGCAGCGAAAUGCGAUACUUGGUGUGAAUUGCAGAAUCCCGUGAACCAUCGAGUCUUUGAACGCAAGUUGCGCCCGAAGCCAUUAGGCCGAGGGCACGCCUGCCUGGGCGUCACACGUCGUUGCCCCCCCAUCUACUCCUUCGGGAUUGCGGGGGGCGGAUGAUGGCCUCUCGUGCGCCUCGUCGCGCGGUUGGCCUAAAUGCCAAGUCCUCGGCGACGCACGCCACGACAAUCGGUGGUUGCGAAACCUCGGUUGCCUGUCGUGUGCGGUCGUCGCGCAUCGAGGGCUCGAAAAAAUUGCCGGGCUUCGGCUCGACUUUCAACGCGACCCCAGGUCAGGCGGGGUUACCCGCUGAAUUUAAGCAUAUCAAUAAGCGGAGGA